GCUCUGGGAUAGCUCAGUCAGUAGAGCAUGAGACUCUUAAUCUGAAGGUUAUGGGUUUGAGCCCCACACUGGGCA